AGUUCAGCACCUGUGAAGCAAAGCCAAGAAGUGGCACCUGCAGGCUGGCAGAGCUAUCGCUGGUCCUGAAGCUGAGAGACAGUUUCUUAGAGGGAAGUCAGAAGUCGCCCACACAAUCUUCACAGACACCAGCUUUACCAUAACAUUUGAAUACAGUGGCAACUUCCUGUCCCGAAGCCUCGCCUUUUCUGGUACUUCUGCCCGAGCAACUGUAGGGUUCCCAGGAACAUCUUGACUGAGUUCCCCACUUCCAUGACACCACGGUGGCAGGUGCCGAACAUCUCCUGGUCACCUGUGAUCUAUCAAAUCCACAAAUAUCUCUGGAGAAACACCUCUGAAGGGCCAACAGGGAUAGUAGCAAGCAGCGGAAACUGUCCCUGAAGCCAAAUGGAGCCUUCCCUUGUUCACCGUGGCUUUUUGGAUCACCACAUUUUCCUAGUUUUUCUAAAAAUCAAUUUUCU
ensembl:lincRNA Gm45055 predicted gene 45055